rnacentral:lncRNA from 1 species
GUGAAGCCAGAACGUCAGAGCAAGGGAACUGCCAGACAAAGCAAAGAAAAUGAAGAUUUCUGUCUUGGGAAUUGAACCUUCAAUGUCUUAUUGUAUAAGGCCUGUGUGCACAGUCUGAGGAUCUGAUGAAAGCCAAACGACCAAAAUCCAGGAAGAGUGCUCAGUUCGUGGAUUUUCUCAUUUGCUUUCGUAGAUAUGAGAGAUUGUGUUGCUCAGGUGUUCAAGGUGUUGUGAGAGCAAUAUUCUGAGGGGAGAAAAUGGCAAGGCGGUUCACAUUUCUCUGUAUGCUCUAGCAGCCACCCCAGCAUGUAUUUUAGCUGGCACUGAGUGUAACCCCCAUGGUGGCAAGCUCCCCUGCUCCUUUCAGGUGUUUUGCUGGUGGGAUCAUCCAUGUUGCAGGAGACUCUCUGAGCCCCAGCAAGCAGUAAAUAGAACAAACAGAACCCGUGUUACAGGCAUGGUCAACUGCACUGGUCGCACAGCCCUAGCAGAGCAGAGUCACUGCCACCCUCACGUAGGCAGUGACAUGGCGCAGGGGAUUACCCACCCUGGGGUCCUCCCAGUGAUACCUGGACAAGUCAGCAGCACACGGCAGCAGCAGCAGGGAGAAGUGAUGGGAGCACUUGCACCGUUUACCUGUGCCUCAGAGCAGCCACAGCAAGGGACCAGGACAGGCUGAUGCACCAAGGACACAUUGACUUGCUCACCUCCUGCACUGUUGGAAUUAGUUUUGCAGUUAAUAUACGCACUGAUGUCAAAUAAAAUGAAACCGUUAUGAUGUUGUGAGUUGCCU